rnacentral:ncRNA from 1 species
GGGGAUAUGGCGAAAUUGGUAGACGCUACGGACUUGAUUGGAUUGAGCCUUGGUAUGGAAACAUACUAAGUGAUAACUUUCAAAUUCAGAGAAACCCUGGAAUUAAAAAUGGGCAAUCCUGAGCCAAAUCCUGUUUUCAGAAAACAAACAAAUAAAGGGUUUGGAAAGCAAGAAUAAAAAAGGAUAGGUGCAGAGACUCAAUGGAAGCUAUUCUAACGAAUAGAGUUGACUGCGUUGCGUUGAUUGAGGAAUCCUUCUAUUUAAACUCCAGAAAGGAUGAACCCAUAUACGUACAUAUACAUAAUAAAAUAUCAAAGAUUAAUGGCGGUUCGAAUCUUUAUUUAUUUUUUUUAUGCAAAAUUGAAGGAUUCUUGUGAAUCGAUUCCAAGUUUAAAUAAGAAUCGAAUAUUCACUGAUCAAAUCAGUCACUCCAUAGUCUGAUAGAUCUUUUAAAGAACUAACUAAUUCGACGAGAAUAAAGAUAGAGUCCCAUUAUACAUGUCAAUAUCAAUACCGACAAAAAUGCAAUUUAUAGUAAGAGGAAAAUCCGUCGACUUUUUAAAUCGUGAGGGUUCAAGUCCCUCUAUCCCCA